rnacentral:lncRNA from 1 species
ACAUGCUCGCUAGGAUGUCGCAUCCUAUGCAUACGUAUCUUCUCAGACGAGAGAAGAAUCAGAGCAUUCGUAGCUCGGCUGACGCGCACACAAACAAAAGAAGACAAAGGCAAACGUGGAGCCCGACUGCCAAUCACUGGACUUAUGUCAGCAUCCGAACCUAAACACACCCACACCGGAACCCAAAUGCCACUCGAUGGACUUACAUCGGCUUCCAAGCACACAACAACACAACAAGUUAAUAGGGAGUCGGGGACUCGAGCCUAUAACUGUCA